rnacentral:rRNA from 1 species
AAUAGAUACCCCGGUAGUCCACGCAGUAAACGAUGCAGACUAGGCGUAGGUGGACUUGACCCCAUCUGUGCCGGAGCUAACGCGGUAAGUCUGCCGCCUGGGGAGUACGGCCGCAAGGCUAAAACUCAAAGGAAUUGACGGGGGCCCGCACAAGCGGCGGAGCGUGCGGUUUAAUUCGACGCAACGCGCAGAACCUUACCAGGGCUUGACAUGGACCUGCAGGACCGGGAAACCGGGAGGCCUUCGAGGGUGGUCCACAGGUGCUGNACCCCUGGCUGUCGUCAGCUCGUGUCGUGAGAUGUUGGGUUAAGUCCCGCAACGAGCGCAACCCUCGUGGCUAGUUGUCGAUGUUUCUAGCCAGACUGCCGCGAGCAACGCGGAGGAAGGUGGGGAUGACGUCAAGUCAGCAUGGCCCUUACGUCCUGGGCAACACGCACGCUACAAUGGCCGGGACAGCGGGUAGCCAAACCGCAAGGUGGAGCGAAUCCCUGUAAACCCGGUCUCAGUUGGAAUUGUGGGCUGCAACUCGCCCGCAUGAAC